ensembl:lncRNA
CAAAAGGCUUUCUAAUAUUUUAUGGUAUUGGCAGCACCCAGAAAUUACUUGAAGUCUGUAAAAACACUCACCUAAACAGAAUCACUCAACCAUAUUAACUGUCUUCUAAUAGCCACAGCGCUACCAGCUUCCAGACAGUAAUGGCCCAGCUGGUUUAAAUGGGUUUCCAUGGUGACAGGCAUGCUGUGGUUUCCAUGGUUACAUUUCCCAGUCCCUCACAGGAGUUAGAUAUAUAUAUUUGAAAUUUAAAAGGAUUUUUUUUCAUUUCUUUGCCAGCCUACACAGAAAUCCAGGGCUCCAAGGUCUGGGAUGAAAGUUUCAGUGACCUCAUGGCAAUGAUAUCUGUGACAGUUCUGUCUUUCUCAUUCUUGCUGAAUGAGGAAACGAGGAUUCAACAGGGAAAUAUUGUGGCACUAGAGUGAAAUCUCUGCAUGAUGAGCCUGAGCAUUUUGCUUAAUUAGUGGAGGAGGAAGAGGGGCGAGAGAACAUGUGAUUGCUCGGAUAGGGCUUCCCGGGGCAGGCGGGGAGUUUUCCAAAAGGCGGAGGGUCUUCCUCGACGUUAGAGUCCUUUUAAAGGGGUCGCUCCUCUUUGCCAUAGCAGUGCCGAUCUCCUUGCAUUGAUCUCCUCACAGUCCUCAUUUCAAACCAGCCCUCUUGGCCUGAUUUGGCGAAACCAGGCAUCUGUCACAAGGCAUCAGCGCCAGUCAAGACGGUUGGAUCUGGGGUUUCUUGGUAGAAGGAACCUAUGUGGAAUUCUAGUGCCUCCUUGUGGCACCUCUAACAUUUGCAGCUCUGCUUCACUCUGGAAAAAUGUGCAGCUUUUACUGCUAGUGUUUAGGAAGCAAAGAUAGUCUUUCUUCAUGUAUUAAUGCAUCCAUCCAUCCAUCUGCUCAACCCUCUCUCUUGCUCACAAACUUUACUGUGUCUUUAUCAAAUUUCAGCUAGGCCCUGGAAAUAAUACUAAUUUAAAAAAUAGGCCGCUGCCUUCAUAGAGUUCACAAUCUAGCUAUAAGGAGGAGAGAAAAUAAGUCAACAGCUCUUAAUAGUCCAAAGAAUUAUGGAAAAUGACAGAGGGGGGGCCACUGGCAGGGGAGCUGUUUAAGCUGUCAGCUUGAAGACAAUUUUGAGCUGGACGUUCAAGGAUUCUGUCUUAAAAAGAUGAAAAAAAAAAAAAGACAAUAUUUCAUCGAACAGGGGUUUCUUUUCUUUUCUUUCUUUUUUUUUUUUAGGACCUCACCCGUGACAUGUGGAGGUUCCCAGGCUAGGGGUCGAAUCAGAGCUACAGUUGCCAUCCUACACCACAGCCACAGCAACACUAGAUCUGAGCCGUGUCUGUGACCUACACCACAGCUCAUGGCAACACCAGAUCCUUAACCCACUGAGCGAGGUUAGGGAUUGAACCUGCAUCCUCAUGGGUAAUCCUAGUCGGGUUGGUUACUGCUAGGAAUGAGGUUUUCUAUCACCAGAAUAAACCAGAAUAUGAGUGUAGUAACACUUGUCUUUAUUUGUGUUCAUAUGCUUGCUACCUUCAAAGCAGCUCUGCAGUCAGGAACAGGUACAAAGACUUAGUGCUGUUGAAAAAAACCUGAGAAGGUGCUGUCAAUAUUAGACUCGCUGCAACAUAACAUCAUCAGGGGACAGUUGGGGGCACCCAGAGCAGAGAUGACUGGUACAUCCUGGAAAGCUGUUCACUAGACAGAGGGUAGGGUGGUGUGUGUGUGUGUGUGUGUGUGUGCACAUGCACAGAACAGCACAAAUACAAGCAAGGAGGAAGGCACAGAACACCUCACACCCUCUCCAACGGCGAGGGCUUUGUGAGCCCAUCAAAGAGACGAUGGCUUAAUGCAAAGGCUAUGGAGUCACUGAAAGAUUUUAAGUAGGGGAAUCAUACAAUAAAACUUAUACAGAGAACAGGUCAUUUUUAUGGCAUCGUAUUCAUAAUUAAGGUUAAGAAGGACUCUG